AGUGAACGCUGGCGGUAGGCCUAACACAUGCAAGUCGAACGGCAGCACAGAGGAGCUUGCUCCUUGGGUGGCGAGUGGCGGACAGGUGAGGAAUACAUCGGAAUCUACUCUGUCGUGGGGGAUAACGUAGGGAAACUUACGCUAAUACCGCAUACGACCUACGGGUGAAAGCAGGGGAUCUUCGGACCUUGCGCGAUUGAAUGAGCCGAUGUCGGAUUAGCUAGUUGGCGGGGUAAAGGCCCACCAAGGCGACGAUCCGUAGCUGGUCUGAGGGGAUGAUCAUACACACUGGAACUGAGACACGGUCCAGACUCCUACGGGAGGCAGCAGUGGGGAAUAGUGAACAAUGGGCGCAAGCCUGAUCCAGCCAUACCGCGUGGGUGAAGAAGGCCUUCGGGUUGUAAAGCCCUUUUGUUGGGAAAGAAAUCUCUCUGGUUAAUACCCGGGUGGGAUGACGGUACCCAAAGAAUAAGCACCGGCUAACUUCGUGCCAGCCGCCGCCGUAA
rnacentral:rRNA from 1 species